rnacentral:rRNA from 3 species
UGGGGAAUAUUGCACAAUGGGCGCAAGCCUGAUGCAGCGACGCCGCGUGCGGGAUGACGGCCUUCGGGUUGUAAACCGCUUUUGACUGGGAGCAAGCCCUUCGGGGUGAGUGUACCUUUCGAAUAAGCACCGGCUAACUACGUGCCAGCAGCCGCGGUAAUACGUAGGGUGCAAGCGUUAUCCGGAAUUAUUGGGCGUAAAGGGCUCGUAGGCGGUUCGUCGCGUCCGGUGUGAAAGUCCAUCGCUUAACGGUGGAUCCGCGCCGGGUACGGGCGGGCUUGAGUGCGGUAGGGGAGACUGGAAUUCCCGGUGUAACGGUGGAAUGUGUAGAUAUCGGGAAGAACACCAAUGGCGAAGGCAGGUCUCUGGGCCGUCACUGACGCUGAGGAGCGAAAGCGUGGGGAGCGAACAGG